UGAUGAAUGGCAGGAAAAGUCUAAGGCAUAUUAGUAUGCCAUAGACUUUUUCCAGGGUGCGGGUGCCCACAGAGAGGGCUCCAAGUGCCGUCUCUGGCACCCGAGCCCUUUGUUUGCCACCACUCUUACACCAUCGUCAUCAUGCCA